UGCAUAGCAGCUCUGUGAACAUUACGCCAAAAUGGCGACCAGUCGUCACUGAGGAACAAGCUCACGCCCUGAAGUAUUACAAACGCAGGAACUCCAUAGAUAAAAAAGUUUAUCACAAACCCAGAAAAGUGAAACAAGAAAAGGACUCGAAUUCGCAAACAAACUCGAAUAUGUGGUCCAGUGUUUUUUCGAGCAGCUAUUGAUUUAUUUAUAAAAUGUGAAAGUUUUGUGUCAUUAAAUAAAGUAUGUAACUAG